rnacentral:tRNA from 1 species
AAAAUAAAGAGAUUAAAUUUAGGUUUCUAACUUAAUUAUUUUAAUAGUUAAAUUCUAUUAUUAUUUUA